CCCUGGAUUCUGACGUGUUCCCAUUCAGUGACCAGCACUGAACACAGACUAACCAUGCAGUUGUGGCUGAGAUGGGUUUUCCUUGCAGCUCUUUUAAAAGGCAUCCAGUGUGGAGUUAAGAUUGUGGACUCCGGUGGAGGCUUGGUACAGCCUGGUGGGUCCCUGAGACUCUCCUGUGCAACCUCUGGAUUCACCUUCAGUGAUUACUACGUGAACUGGGUCCGCCAGGCCCCAGGGAAAGGGCUGGAAUGGGUUGCUCAAAUAAGAAACAAAGCUAAUAGUUAUGCAACAUAUUACGCGGCAUCUGUGACCGGCAGAUUCACUAUCUCAAGAGAUGAUUCCCAAAGCAGUGCCUCCCUGCAAAUGAGCAGCCUGAAAACUGAGGACACGGCCACCUAUUACUGUACAGGAGGCACAGUGAAGAAAAAUCACUGUAUCAAAUGUGAGAUGAAGCUGAUGGAGUCUGGGGGAGGUGUGGUGCAACCUGGGGGGUCCUUGAGACUUUCCUGCACAGCCUCUGGGUUCACCUUUAGUGAUUACUGGAUGAAUUGGAUCUGCCAGGCUCCAGGAAAGGGGCUGGAGUGGUUGGCUGUUAUAAAAUAUGAUGGAAGUGAGAAGCACUAUGCAGAAUCUGUGAAGGGCAGAUUCACUAUCUCCAGAGACAACUCCAGGAACAUUCUGUACCUGCAAAUGAGCCACCUGAGAGCUGAUGACACAGCCACGUAUUACUGUGCAAAAGAGACACAGAGGAAAGUUUGA